AGUGAACGCUGGCGGUAGGCCUAACACAUGCAAGUCGAACGGCAGCACAGUAAGAGCUUGCUCUUACGGGUGGCGAGUGGCGGACGGGUGAGGAAUACAUCGGAAUCUACUUUUUCGUGGGGGAUAACGUAGGGAAACUUACGCUAAUACCGCAUACGACCUACGGGUGAAAGCAGGGGAUCUUCGGACCUUGCGCGAUUGAAUGAGCCGAGGUCGGAUUAGCUAGUUGGCGGGGGAAAGGCCCACCAAGGCGACGAUCCGUAGCUGGUCUGAGAGGAUGAUCAGCCACACUGGAACUGAGACACGGUCCAGACUCCUACGGGAGGCAGCAGUGUGGAAUAGUGGACAAUGGGCGCAAGCCUGAUCCAGCCAUACCGCGUGGGUGAAGAAGGCGUUCGGGUUGUAAAGCCCUUUUGUUGGGAAAGAAAAGCAGCAGGUUAAUACCCCGCUGUUCUGACGGUACCCAAAGAAUAAGCACCGGCUAACUUCGUG
rnacentral:rRNA from 1 species